ensembl:lncRNA HCG18 HLA complex group 18
GCCUUUUAACAUUCAAGGAUUAGGUAAGUUCUCCCCGCGGUAGACUUCAAAUACUCUUUGUCCUGCCCCUGCUUGGCGAAAUUUACCGAAAUUAUCUACCUAUCCCGCUGGAGUGGGAGCCGGGGGAGAGCUGGAACCGCGUCUCUGCUGCUCACCUUUGUGUCCUUAGCUCCUUCGCAUGGGGUCCGACCGCAACACGUGCGCUGGAUAAACGCUUGUUAACUGGGUGAGAGCCAAGGCCUGUUCUUUCCACUUCUGGGGCUGUGACUUGAGUUUCUCCGCAGGAGCAGAUAGUGUUUGUGUAGGGACUGCGGACUUUUGCAUUACAGCCUCCCUGCUUUGCCCGCCUGCUGCUGGAAGCUUAGCAGAGCUCCCUCUUUGCCCACUAGCAGGGCAUUAGCUGGUGCUGAAGACAGUGGCUGCUUGGCGAGCCUGGAUCUCCAAGUGACCCCCUCAGCAACUCCUGAUGAACAGGACUGAAGCCAAUAUUAAAGCAAGUCAACCAAAGGUUCUCUGGUGUAGACAAGACAGCAAAAGGACAGACUACCUUGUGGAACCUAGCAUUGUUCUCCUUCUGCAGCACUAAGUAACAUUUGUUCUCCGUUAAGAUCUUUGCAAACCACACACAAGAAUUGCUGGUCAUCCUGCCAAUAGAUGCUGCUCACAGAACCAAAUUUCCUGUGCUGAAUUGUCACUCAUGGGCUUGAGAGUAGGAGACUGGAGACCAAGGUGGCUAGAAUCCAGUUGGGCCUGAUGUCUCCCUGUUGAAAGGGCUCCUUGUGGAAUGAAUAGCACAUGGCUCCUGUGGUGGAUCUGAUAGUGGCAUAGCACCAAGUGAUGCAGGCCUGCCAGGGGCCACAGACACAGAAGAUGCUCCCGGGGUCCCCCAUGUACUCCAGACACACUGCAGGCCACCUCUCCCAGCAGGUUGCCAGUCAUGGGCCCCAUCAUCAUGACUUCUGUCCAAGGUGUGCUCGGAAAUCUCUUCCUUAACUGUGACUUUCUGACAGGUGGAGGAUGUGGUCAGGAGUGGGAAAAGGAUUCGAGACGGGAAGAGGGAGGGGUUCAGGAUGAAGAGAGAUAAUCUGUGCCACAGAUGCUGGCCCUGCAGUUAGCUCCCACCUAGUCCGUGCACACACAUUCUAAUCCCCUCCCAUUCCUUUACAUGCUGCGGCCAGAGAGGCCUUUCUCAAAGUGGAAGUCUCAUCCUCACUUCUCUGGUUACAGUGCUGGGCCAUGGUAACUUACAAGGCUUAGCAGGAACUGUCUGCGCACUCCCCCUUCCUGCCCACUACCUUGUUUCCCUCCAGUUGCGAGAGAAAACAUUGAUUGAGCAUUAACUAUGUGCCAGGCUUGUCCUAAGUCCUUUGCAUGUAUUCACUCAAACAAUCCUCACAACAUUCCUAUCACAUCUCCCAUUUCACAGUGAGGGUUCUAAAGCACGUAGUGGGUGAGGAACUUGUCCAGGGUCACACAACUAAGUGGGGGUGGAGAAACAUCAAAUCUAGGUGGUCCAGGUGGUGGCCAGAACCCAUCAGCACCUCACUACAGCUGCCUCCAGUUUCUCGCUCUAGGAAAUACUCUUCCCUGUCAACUCCUGUUGUCCUCUGGGCUCAGUUGACAUGUCAUCUCCUUGAGGAGGACAUCCUGAGAUGCUCCCCGACUAGGGUGGGCACCCACUUCCACACUCCAAAUGCCUAUUUGACCUGUGUAUCGCUGCAUCCCCACUGCCUGGCAGAUAGCAGGCCCCUAAUAAAUAUGAUUUGAGCAAAUAAAUAUAGUUCUUCAAAAAAUAGGGAGGACUUCUUGCUUCAGGUAAUGGUAGGCUAGGACAUUUGGACCAACCCUCCUGCAGAAAAUAGCCAUUUAUUUUGAUGCAAUAUAUCUGGCUAUGACUAGAGAUUUCAAAUAUUUGGAGGGCUAUUAUGUGAAGAACUAAACUUACUCUUUGUGACAUAGAGGUCAGAAAUUGGUCGUUUCCAUAGAGUAUGAGAGAGACAGAAUUGUGCUCAUCAUAAGUAUCUUUUUUAAAAGUUAGACUUAAUAAAAUGGGCUGCCUUGGUAGGUGGUGAGUUCUCUGUCACGAAAGAGAUUCAGCCACUUGCUCUGAGAAAGCAUGGAGAAUAUCAACAUUGUAAGGGUCGACCACCUCAUCUCUGAGGCCCCCUCCUCACUUAGGUUGCCAUUGCAGGUGGAACACUGGGCUGAGUGUCAAAGAACCUGGGUUCCACAAACUGUGCGACCAUGGCUGGUUGUUUUGGAUCUCAUUCCUAAUAUCUGUUAGUUAAGCUGACCCGUCAAUACUGACCCACUUCACAGAGUUAUGAAGGGAUUAAAUUAGGUAUUACAUGUAAAUCUGUUUUGUUUGCUUUUUGUUGUUCUUUUUUGUUUUGCUUUUUUCUUUGCAUUAUGAAAUCCCAAGUCAACUUUUUCCAUUCUUUUAUUUUUUUAAAAAUUGACAUCAUCAUUAUAACCACAAAAUAAUUUUUAAAAUGGAAAAAAAAAACUCACCUGCAACCCCACAAUCUAAUACAAUAAUCAUACUUUUUUCCCUUUAUUCUCCUUUAUUGUGACCAAGGAUGACUUUGGGCAUUGCUGUGAGGAACUAUUUCGUUUAACACCCUACUACCUGAACAUGAUGCGUACUCAGCCUUUCACCACCCCCCAAGUAGCUACACAUGAUGUGAUAAUAGUAUUGGUGGUGGUUUUAGAGAGUUGGAGAGAAAACUGAAGUUGGAUUUGGGUAAAAGAAAAAAGAGUGGGAAUUAUUUUUUCUCCAUUCUAAAGCCCAUAAAGCAAUGUUAAUUGUUCCCACCCCUCUGCUAUUCUGUCUCCUCAGGUACUGUGUGCAGAAAUGUGAUUGAGAUUCAAGUCAGGGCCUCUCUGCCCUUUUCCCUCCAGAAACAAAACCAAGAUAAUUUAUCCUGAACACGGUGAAAAAAGGAAGGGAGGGAGGAGAAAAAGUCCGGGUCUCACCUGGGAUUCUCUGUCUCCUGCAACAUGAAGGAUUUAGCCUGGGAGGAGGUGGUGAGAACUCUGGGAGAGAAAAAAGAAGGAAAGAAUAGUUUUACCCAUGCUGAAGUUAAUUUAAACCUUCACCUAGAGAAGCAAAAAAAAAAAACCCACACUUUCCCAUUUUGUGCCUCCCUUCCUAGAGUUUUAGCCAAAGGUUUAGCUAAGUAAUUGGUUUUACCAGCGCACUCACUCCUCCUAUCCCAAGUCUGUUUGACUCCCUCCCCAUCAUCCUCCUCACCUCUUUUCAGGCAGGGUGGGGAUAGCAGCAGGAGGAGAUUUUGGGAGCCUGGCAACUCCUGCAAGGACCGCAGGACAGCCCCUCUGUGGGGAUGCGUGGUGCCCCAUCUGCCGCCCUUCUGAAGAAUGCACUGCCUUCACUUUUUACUGUGUUAGAGUCCAUCCAGACUGUUCUAUCCAAAAAAGUUUCUUUUUCCCCCACAGGCAAUCAGGAAAUGAUUCCUUUCCCGACUGCUUCUGUCUAGUGCCUGGGAAUCUUGAGUCAAUCCCUCAGUAAGUCAGUGACUAGGGAAAUCCCUCUCUGAGCCUCCCAGUUCAUGUUGCUUAGGGAACCUGAUAUUUUCGUGAAACCUGCCUACACAUGGGCAGCCCAACAGCAGAACAAAUGGUGGUGACCAAAGUGAACAAAGAAGUAUAGUUGUGCCAGCUUCGUAGUUGCCCAUGUGGACAAGUCAGCAGGAUCAGGACACGAGGAAGAGUAAAUGUGAGACAGUCAAUGUGACUUCUGCGAUAAACAGAUUUUUAAACCCCGAAAUUUUGCAAAAUUUUGGUGAAACCUGAACUUUCUUCGUUGCAUAUACUGGCACUAUCUGUACCAUCAUACAACUGUCUCACAUUAAAGCUAUUUUUCUUGGGCACUGAUGAGUAAGGUUGGUAUAAGUUCCUCAGAUCAACAAAAACCCAUUUUCCUGUAAGUCUUACAUUUAGUAUUUAAGGAACUAAAACUUAAAUACAUUUUGUGAAAUGGUUGACACUUCACUGAUAAUGAUUUAUUGCUUGGAUUAAUAAAUUUUCCAAAAGUUGUCUUAUGUAGAAUAUGGUUUGCAACCAGCAGAACCAUUAAUCUAUACUGCAAUGAUAUGCACUAUGUAUAAUUGUUUAAAAGCCUCUACUUAAUGAUGUAAAAUGCUCUAUUUAAUUACACAUUUGGGUAAACUGUAUACUAACAUCUGAUGGCAUUUUUCCACUGUUUGUUGCUUUUUUCAAAUACUUUAUUGUACAAAGCUGUUCUUAAUAUUUUUCAAGUUUUUUUCUUUGAAUUUUGCUAAUGUUUUCCUUGAAUUAUGAGCACUGACAGAAUGUGCUUAGCACUUUUGGCUAUUCACACAGCUUUUGAGCAUGAUUUGCAUCCAAUAUUUACAUUGCUAGCAAUAAUAAGCCAUCUGUGAGUUUUGUCAAAA